AAUUUUAUCAUCAAGCAAUAU
rnacentral:miRNA from 1 species